UACGGAGGGUGCGAGCGUUAAUCGGAAUCACUGGGCGUAAAGCGCGCGUAGGCGGCUUUUCAAGUCAGGGGUGAAAUCCCACGGCCCAACCGUGGAACUGCAUUUGAAACUGUUAUUCUAGAGUAUGGGAGAGGUAGGUGGAAUUCUUGGUGUAGGGGUAAAAUCCGUAGAGAUCAAGAGGAAUACUCAUUGCGAAGGCGACCUGCUAGAACAUAACUGACGCUGAUGCGCGAAAGCGUGGGGAGCAAACAGG
rnacentral:rRNA from 1 species